rnacentral:rRNA from 1 species
UCCAGACUCCUACGGGAGGCAGCAGUGGGGGAUAUUGCACAAUGGGGGGAACCCUGAUGCAGCGACGCCGCGUGGGUGAAGAAGCGCCUCGGCGCGUAAAGCCCUGUCAGCAGGGAAGAAAAUGACGGUACCUGAAGAAGAAGCCCCGGCUAACUACGUGCCAGCAGCCGCGGUAAUACGUAGGGGGCAAGCGUUAUCCGGAUUUACUGGGUGUAAAGGGGGCGCAGACGGCAGCGCAAGCCAGGAGUGAAAGCCCGGGGCCCAACCCCGGGACUGCUCUUGGAACUGCGCGGCUGGAGUGCAGGAGGGGCAGGCGGAAUUCCUGGUGUAGCGGUGAAAUGCGUAGAUAUACGGAGGAACACCAGUGGCGAAGGCGGCCUGCUGGACAUUAACUGACGCUGAGGCGCGAAAGCGUGGGGAGCAAACAGGAUUAGAUACCCUUGUACCA